UACGUAGGGUGCAAGCGUUGUCCGGAAUUAUUGGGCGUAAAGAGCUCGUAGGCGGUGUGUCGCGUCGGCCGUGAAAACCUGCAGCUUAACUGUGGGCUUGCGGUCGAUACGGGCAUCACUGGAGUUCGGCAGGGGAGACUGGAAUUCCUGGUGUAGCGGUGAAAUGCGCAGAUAUCAGGAGGAACACCGAUGGCGAAGGCAGGUCUCUGGGCUGACACUGACGCUCAUGCACGAAAGCGUGGGGAGCAAACAGG
rnacentral:rRNA from 1 species